CUCUGUUGCCAUUGGUAAAGAAGUUGUGUUGAGCUUUGCAUAAGAGAUACGUUGUUUUGGCUAACUAUAUGUUUUUCAAUUGGCUUUGGAGGGCUAAUAAUUUUUUGUAAGUGGUCUUGCUUGGUUCUCGCUUUUUGGAGUGUGUCAGUGUAGUGAUUUCUGCUACCAGCGAGUCAUAUUUUGCCAUCCUUAGUUUUUUGGCUCGACUGGCAUGUUUUAUGAGACUACCCUGUAUGACCGCU